UGCAGCUUAAAGCCACAGGGCCCUAUUUUAACGAUCUAAGCGCACGGCAUGAAGCGCAUGGCGCAGCUGCGUUUAGGGUGCGUCCACAUCCACGUUUGCUAGUUUGACGGCGGA